rnacentral:sRNA from 1 species
CCCAGCGCUGAACGCGCUGGGCUACUGUCAGUCGCCCCUACGGGGCU